GACGAACGCUGGCGGCGUGCCUAAUACAUGCAAGUAGAACGCUGAAGGAGGAGCUUGCUUCUCCGGAUGAGUUGCGAACGGGUGAGUAACGCGUAGGUAACCUGCCUGGUAGCGGGGGAUAACUAUUGGAAACGAUAGCUAAUACCGCAUAAGAGUAGAGGUCGCAUGACAUUUGCUUAAAAGGUGCAACUGCACCACUACCAGAUGGACCUGCGUUGUAUUAGCUAGUUGGUGAGGUAACGGCUCACCAAGGCAACGAUACAUAGCCGACCUGAGAGGGUGAUCGGCCACACUGGGACUGAGACACGGCCCAGACUCCUACGGGAGGCAGCAGUAGGGAAUCUUCGGCAAUGGACGGAAGUCUGACCGAGCAACGCCGCGUGAGUGAAGAAGGUUUUCGGAUCGUAAAGCUCUGUUGUAAGAGAAGAACGAGUGUGAGAGUGGAAAGUUCACACUGUGACGGUAUCUUACCAGAAAGAGACGGCUAACUACGUG
rnacentral:rRNA from 1 species